GACGAACGCUGGCGGCGUGCCUAAUACAUGCAAGUAGAACGCUGAAGAGAGGAGCUUGCUCUUCUUGGCUGAGUUGCGAACGGGUGAGUAACGCGUAGGUAACCUGCCUUGUAGCGGGGGAUAACUAUUGGAAACGAUAGCUAAUACCGCAUAACAAUGGAUGACACAUGUCAUUUAUUUGAAAGGGGCAAUUGCUCCACUACAAGAUGGACCUGCGUUGUAUUAGCUAGUAGGUGAGGUAAUGGCUCACCUAGGCGACGAUACAUAGCCGACCUGAGAGGGUGAUCGGCCACACUGGGACUGAGACACGGCCCAGACUCCUACGGGAGGCAGCAGUAGGGAAUCUUCGGCAAUGGGGGCAACCCUGACCGAGCAACGCCGCGUGAGUGAAGAAGGUUGUCGGAUCGUAAAGCUCUGUUGUAAGUCAAGAACGGGUGUGAGAGUGGAAAGUUCACACUGUGACGGUAGCUGACCAGAAAGGGACGGCUAACUACGUG
rnacentral:rRNA from 1 species